UACGGAGGGUGCAAGCGUUGUCCGGAUUUAUUGGGUUUAAAGGGUGCGCAGGUGGGUAUUUAAGUCUGGUUUGAAAGCAGGUGGCUCAACCAUCUGAUGUGGCUGGAAACUGGAUAUCUUGAAUGAGUUGGCGGUAGCCGGAAUGGGUCAUGUAGCGGUGAAAUGCAUAGAUAUGACCCGGAACACCGAUUGCGAAGGCAGGCUACUACGACUUGAUUGACACUGAGGCACGAGAGCAUGGGGUAGCGAACAGG
rnacentral:rRNA from 1 species